CCACAACACCAUAGUGGCAGGAGUCAAAGGGGAGCCUUCUUGUCCCUUCCCCAAGGUAGACUUUCGUCAGACUGGCUAGGAACCAGUAUUUGUGUCCUUAUAUAGGUACCUGAGGGGCUGCAGGAGACAGGGAUCUGGGAAAGGUAAUACAGCAAAUGAGAGCUAGUCUCACUGAGCUAACACCAGCCAGCCAGUGGGGAGGACAGGGUAGUUAAACCCAUUUUAUGAGUCCUAAGUUUGGUCUUGGCCAGGUCACCAGCUCCCAGGUGUGUCCCUGGCACUGUAUGACUUCUGAACUCCCGGGGCCGACCCAGCCCACUGAGUAUCUGACCCCUGUUCCCAGGCCUCACCUGUUCAGUAGCUGUUGCAUGAAGGUGUCUGCACCCUGAUACAUGCCGGCUAGCUGGCCUUGCGCCUGCCCCAGACCAGGACUGGGCACGGUGGCUGGGCCCCCAGGCCGUGGGCGGGCUCUGCUCAGGUACGCCUUCUCUUCCUCUAGGGCUCGGCGCAGGUCUUCUGCCUUCGCCAUCAGCUUGGAGAUGUUGAGGCUCUCAGCCUCCAGCUUCCGGGCUUCCGUCUUGACUUCUUUCCGGAGUGGGGAGCCCCCACCGGCCCCGUCCUUGUUUUUGGUAGCCUCAGUGCGGCGGUUCAGAGCCGGCAGCUUGCUCUUUUUAAGGCCAAACCAGCUGGCGAUGCUGCUGGUGUUGCGGUGUUUGGCUUCGGAGCCCGGAGUCCGUUCCUGACCUUGAAGGCGCAGCACGUUCUCCUCAAUGCCCUUCAUCACCUUCUCCUCGAUGGCCGAGUGUGGGGCUGGCCCUUCUGAGCCCUGGCUUGGGUCGGCGGGGCCGGCUACUGGGGAUGUAGGCUGGCCAACUGUGCUGCCACAAUCUGCCCAGGGUGUGCGGGGCAUCUGGGGACACAGAGCCCCUGCUAGCCGACUCUUGGCCAGCUCCACUUUGGUGAGGCAGCUCCUCGGUGAGAUGGGCUCCAGGUCCACUCGAGCUCCCAUGGAAUGAGAGGAGUAGACUCUGGCACCAGGAUCUGGCCCCCUAAGACCCGCUCCCAGUGCAGCAGUGCCCCCAGGCUCCCAGGACCGAGCAGCAGGUAGGGUGCCCAGGGUGAGGGUUCAGGCUGCGGUGGGCCACAGGGCUCGCCAUUGAUGGGCUCUGGGGAGCCAGGGCCUUGGCCUGUGGGUCUCCAGGGGGUGGCAGGUGAGCACAAAAGCAAAGGGUCCGUCUCUUCCAAGGCUCGCAGCACCUCUAAAAUCUGAGCUUUCUUCCGAAGAAAUGGGGACAGGGCAUCCAGCGCCGGGGGUGGAGUAGCCGGGGGACCUGGACCGCCUGGCCGUAACUGCUGCUCCCAACACACCUGGGAGGAGAGAAGGCGUGAGGAGGAGGAGAGACGGUGUGGCUGGUGCCGGAGGCCCAGGCCUUAAGGAGCCUGCAGGAGAAGCAGCCUGUUCCUGAGACUCGUUAAGAACCCGCGGUGGAGCCUCUAGCCAGUAAGACACAAACCCAGUGUCUACUCCUCCUUACCUCUCUUUGCCCAGCACAGAGUCCUGAAGGCAGUGAGGUGGCUGGUCCCUCAGAGACAUUUGGGGCUGGGGAGGUUGGUCGUUCUGAUGGCGGCUGGAGUGGUGUGAGUGGGAUCUGCAGAGAGAAUGCAGUGUUAUUCACCCCUCUCGGAGCCAGGCAGCCCCACUGUGCCCCUCCAGGGAUGGCCCCUGGCCUACGGUACGGCUCUUAUCA
rnacentral:lncRNA from 1 species